GGGUGAGUAACACGUGGGAACGUACCCUUUGGUUCGGAACAACCCUGGGAAACUAGGGCUAAUACCGGAUACGCGCGAGAGCGGAAAGGUUUACCGCCGAAGGAUCGGCCCGCGUCUGAUUAGCUAGUUGGUGAGGUAACGGCUCACCAAGGCGACGAUCAGUAGCUGGUCUGAGAGGAUGAUCAGCCACAUUGGGACUGAGACACGGCCCAAACUCCUACGGGAGGCAGCAGUGGGGAAUAUUGGACAAUGGGCGCAAGCCUGAUCCAGCCAUGCCGCGUGAGUGAUGACGGCCCUAGGGUUGUAAAGCUCUUUUACCUGGGAAGAUAAUGACGGUACCAGGAGAAUAAGCCCCGGCUAACUUCGUGCCAGCAGCCGCGGUAAU
rnacentral:rRNA from 1 species